CCUACGGGUGGCAGCAGUGAGGAAUAUUGGUCAAUGGCCGCAGGGCUGAACCAGCCAAGUCGCGUGAGGGAUGACGGUCCUAUGGAUUGUAAACCUCUUUUGUCAGGGAGUAAAGGGAGCCACGUGUGGCGUUUUGCGAGUACCUGAAGAAAAAGCAUCGGCUAACUCCGUGCCAGCAGCCGCGGUAAUACGGAGGAUGCGAGCGUUAUCCGGAUUUAUUGGGUUUAAAGGGUGCGCAGGGGGAAGGUCAAGUCAGAGGUAAAAUUUCGGGGCUCAACCCCGACGUGCCGUUGAUACUGGCAUUCUUGAGUGAGCGAGAGGUAUGCGGAAUGCGUGGUGUAGCGGUGAAAUGCAUAGAGAUCACGAAGAACUCCGAUUGCGAAGGCAGCAUACCGGCGCUCAACUGACGCUCAUGCACGAAAGCGUGGGUAUCGAACAGGAUUAGAUACCCGGGUAGUC
rnacentral:rRNA from 1 species